AAAGACUAAGCCAUGCAUGUCUAAGUAUAAACACCUUUAUACUGCGAAACUGCGAACGGCUCAUUAUAUCAGUUAUAAUCUACUUGAUCGUAUCCUCUUACUUGGAUAACCGUAGUAAUUCUAGAGCUAAUACAUGCAAAAAUUCCCGACUGGUGACGGAAGGGAAGUAUUUAUUAGGUCCAAAAUCAAUACUGGCCAUUCCAAACUGGGGCAACCCGGGGUCAGGAAAAUUGAUGAUUCAUAAUAACUAAACGAAGCGCAGGGCUUGUUCCGGCGCUGAUACAAACGAGUUUCUGCCCUAUCAACUUUCGAUGGUAGUAUAGGGGACUACCAUGGUCG
rnacentral:rRNA from 1 species